UCGGGCGUGGUGCACGGUGCAUGCCCGCCUUCCUUGCAUUUCUUGGCAUGUCAUUAACGGGAAACCUGGGUUCGACUCCCGGCGUUUGAA